UUACGUUCAGGACCUUUGCAUGCAUGACUGCUUCUCCCUAUUUUAAUAAUAUUUGACAAGACUCUCACCUGCACGCCGCUCUCCUGUUUCCUGCGUCUUGAGCUCACGACCGCCGCAGCCAUGCAAACACUUUCAUGUGGUAUUAGACAGAAAGGAGGACUUUUUUUUCCUCCUCUAUUGUAAAAUGUGGAGGUUAUCAUCACUACUGUCUGAUUCCAAUCAAUGCAAGUCAUCACAAUCAGGCGUUUUGUCACUGAUGGCUGGCCUCAGAUGGCAGGCGGCGUGGAAACACGGCGGCUGCGGACGUACAGAUGGUCCAUCUCUCCACGCGGCGGUCCUUGAUCUGUCCCACCACAUUUUGAGGUCACCUGCAGGACUAAUUGGUGUCAUGUAGGAAGAUUGACGGAUGCACUUCCUCACCUCCUUUCUUCUGUCACGGGUCAGCGAGGAGACGGAAUGGUCGACAGGACGCCACGCGCCCUCAAACAUGGCCGCUCUGGGGGGGGGGAUUAGCGGCGCCCUUUGAAGGCCUCAAGCGUGCCGUGAAAAUGGCCGCACGGCAGCGCUUUGAUCGGGGCUCCGCCCCCUCCGUUCCACCUGACCGGCGCUGCGUGUGCGCAUGAAGUCAUCAUCCGGGAACACAAGCUCCGCCCCCUCGCACGCAGUUGGACUUCAGGUAGGACACCAAACAUUACUUUGAUUGACAGGUUUUUGACACCUCCCCAUUAUACUGCCAGCAGCAUAUCAUGCACUGUCCUCACUGAAGUACGUCGUCAGAUCUCUGUCGUGCAUGUCGAAUGUUUACGCUGACCAACAACGUUGAAUUUUUGUGCUUCCAUGUCGCCUUUUUUUUAUAUUGGAAUAAAUGCAGCGAGCAGCAUAUCAUGCACUGUCUUCAAUGAAGACACCUUUUCGCUGUAACAGCAAAACAAGACGCUUUACCUCCGUGACAGCCAACAUUAUUUUCAAGGCAAAAACUGAUUUUCAAGGUAAAAAAUUAUUUUCAAGGUAAAAACUGAUUUUCAAGGUAAAAAACUGAUUUUCAAGGUAAAAGUUGAUUUUCAAGGUAAAAACUGAUUUUCAAGUUAAAAAAA